UCUCCGUUGGUGAACCAGCGGAGGGAUCAUUAGCGAGUUCUAAACUCCCAACCCUCGUGGACACACCUAUCGUUGCUUCGGCAGGGCGCCUCCGGGCGCUGCCCUAGGGCACCCGCCGGCGGCACGCAAACCAAACUCUGUAUUCUGGCUGUAUUCUGAGUAGACUACAAAUAAGUCAAAACUUUCAGCAACGGAUCUCUUGGUUCUG
rnacentral:misc_RNA from 1 species